rnacentral:lncRNA from 1 species
CCGGGCCGCACGCAUGCCAGGCGAGCAUGCUACCGCUUGAGCCACAUCCCCAGCCCCCUGGAUUUUUUAAUCUUUUUAAAAAUAUUUUUUAGUUUUAGGUGGACACAAUAUCUUUUUUUAUUUUUAUUUUUUAAAGAGAGAGAGAGAGAGAGAGAGGUAGAGAGAGAGAGAAUUUUAAUAUUUAUUUUUUAGUUACCGGCGGGCACAACAUCUUUUGUUUGUAUGUGGUGCUGAGGAUUGAACCCAGGCUGCACGCAUGCCAGGCGAGCGUGCUACCGCUUGAGCCACAUCCUCAGCCCCUGGAUUUUUGAGUCCUAUCUCCCUGACAACUGGAAGUCUGUGACCAUGAGCUAUAACAUUAUUUCUUUCACCACUUUUUGGGGGGCUGUUUCCUUACUUGUAAAAUAAGCAUUUCUGUUUUCAAGUAUCUUCUGAUCAGGAUGUUCUGGGGGAUAUGAACUUUUUACUGAUUUGUGGACUACCAGAGUCACACAAAUGUCUUCCCAGGUAUGGGGCUGAAAUACAUAUGGGUUUUGAUAGUUUCCAGAACUUCAGACUAUUCAGACUUCCAUGGUGGGAAUUUGUAUCUUUAGCUUCCAAGGUUAAGUUGCAUCACAGUCUGGUAGCAUAUUUUUUUUUCCUUUUUUUUUUUUUAAAUAUUGACUUUUUUUAAGGUGGAC